AAGCGAUGAUAUCAAGGGGCAUGCCAAGAGCGUUGAGUUGAUCUUGCGGGAGGGGUUGCACAGUGAAACCUCAACUUGGCGUAAGCAUUUUUGCCGAAAGAAAAUGUAAAUA
rnacentral:ncRNA from 12 species